AUUCCAGCUCCAAGAGCGUAUAUUAAAGUUGUUGCAGUUAAAAAGCUCGUAGUUGGAUUUCUGGUCUAAUGCGCCUGGCCCGCUGCCGUUAGGUAUGUGAGUGCCGGUGCGCGUUUACCAUCCUUCCAGAGAACACUUCUACCAUUUAUUUGGACGGAUGUUGUCUUCUGGAUCUUUUACUUUGAAAAAAUUAGAGUGUUUAAAGCAGGCCUUUGCUGUGAAUACAUUAGCAUGGAAUAAUAAUUUAGGACUUGGUAUCCUAUUUUGUUGGUUUUCAGGAUCUAAGUAAUGAUUGAUAGGGAUAGUUGGGGGAGCUAGUAUUUUGCGGCCAGAGGUGAAAUUCUGUGAUUCGCGAAAGACUAACUUACGCGAAAGCAUUCACCAAGGAUGUCUUCAUUA
rnacentral:rRNA from 1 species